rnacentral:rRNA from 1 species
AAAGCGUAACGGAGGAGCACGAAGGUUAGCUAAUCCUGGUCGGACAUCAGGAGGUUAGUGCAAUGGCAUAAGCUAGCUUGACUGCGAGCGUGACGGCGCGAGCAGGUGCGAAAGCAGGUCAUAGUGAUCCGGUGGUUCUGAAUGGAAGGGCCAUCGCUCAACGGAUAAAAGGUACUCCGGGGAUAACAGGCUGAUACCGCCCAAGAGUUCAUAUCGACGGCGGUGUUUGGCACCUCGAUGUCGGCUCAUCACAUCCUGGGGCUGAAGUAGGUCCCAAGGGUAUGGCUGUUCGCCAUUUAAAGUGGUACGCGAGCUGGGUUUAGAACGUCGUGAGACAGUUCGGUCCCUAUCUGCCGUGGGCGCUGGAGAAUUGAGGGGGGCUGCUCCUAGUACGAGAGGACCGGAGUGGACGCAUCACUGGUGUUCGGGUUGUCAUGCCAAUGGCACUGCCCGGUAGCUAAAUGCGGAAGAGAUAAGUGCUGAAAGCAUCUAAGCACGAAACUUGCCCCGAGAUGAGUUCUCCCUGAGACUUUAAGUCUCCUGAAGGAACGUU